CACGUAGGAGGCGAGCGUUGUCCGGAAUCAUUGGGCGUAAAGAGCGCGCAGGCGGCCCGGCAAGUCGGGUGUGAAAUCCCGGGGCUCAACCCCGGGACUGCAUUCGAUACUGUCGGGCUAGAGGUAGGUAGGGGAGAUCGGAAUUCCUGGUGUAGCGGUGAAAUGCGCAGAUAUCAGGAGGAACACCGGUGGCGAAGGCGGGUCUCUGGGCCGAUAUUGACGCUGAGGAGCGAAAGCGUGGGGAGCAAACAGG
rnacentral:rRNA from 1 species